GUGAAACUGCGAAUGGCUCAUUAAAUCAGUUAUCGUUUAUUUGAUAGUACCUUACUACUUGGAUAACCGUGGUAAUUCUAGAGCUAAUACAUGCUAAAAACCUCGACUUCGGAAGGGGUGUAUUUAUUAGAUAAAAAACCAAUGCCCUUCGGGGCUCCUUGGUGAUUCAUGAUAACUUAACGAAUCGCAUGGCCUUGCGCCGGCGAUGGUUCAUUCAAAUUUCUGCCCUAUCAACUUUCGAUGGUAGGAUAGUGGCCUACCAUGGUAUCAACGGGUAACGGGGAAUUAGGGUUCUAUUCCGGAGAGGGAGCCUGAGAAACGGCUACCACAUCCAAGGAAGGCAGCAGGCGCGCAAAUUACCCAAUCCCGACACGGGGAGGUAGUGACAAUAAAUACUGAUACAGGGCUCUUUUGGGUCUUGUAAUUGGAAUGAGUACAAUUUAAAUACCUUAACGAGGAACAAUUGGAGGGCAAGUCUGGUGCCAGCAGCCGCGGUAAUUCCAGCUCCAAUAGCGUAUAUUAAAGUUGUUGCAGUUAAAAAGCUCGUAGUUGAACCUUGGGCCUGGCUGGCCGGUCCGCCUCACCGCGUGUACUGGUCCGGCCGGGCCUUUCCUUCUGGGGAUCCUCAUGCCCUUCACUGGGUGUGCUGGGGAACCAGGACUUUUACUUUGAAAAAAUUAGAGUGUUCAAAGCAGGCCUUUGCUCGAAUACAUUAGCAUGGAAUAAUAGAAUAGGACGUGCGGUCCUAUUUUGUUGGUUUCUAGGACCGCCGUAAUGAUUAAUAGGGAUAGUCGGGGGCAUCAGUAUUCAAUUGUCAGAGGUGAAAUUCUUGGAUUUAUUGAAGACUAACUACUGCGAAAGCAUUUGCCAAGGAUGUUUUCAUUAAUCAGUGAACGAAAGUUAGGGGAUCGAAGACGAUCAGAUACCGUCGUAGUCUUAACCGUAAACUAUGCCGACUAGGGAUCGGGCGAUGUUAUUCUUUUGACUCGCUCGGCACCUUACGAGAAAUCAAA
rnacentral:rRNA from 1 species